CCUACGGGAGGCAGCAGUGGGGAAUAUUGGACAAUGGGGGGAACCCUGAUCCAGCGACGCCGCGUGAGUGAAGAAGUAUUUCGGUAUGUAAAGCUCUAUCGUCAGGGAAGAAAAUGACGGUACCUGACUAAGAAGCCCCGGCUAACUACGUGCCAGCAGCCGCGGUAAUACGGAGGGGGCAAGCGUUACCCGGAUUUACUGGGUGGAAAGGGAGCGUAGACGGUGCAGCAAGUCUGAUGUGAAAGGUCAGGGACCAACCCCGGGACUGCAUUGGAAACUGUUGAACUGGAGUAGAGGAGAGGUAAGUGGAAUUCCUGGUGUAGCGGUGAAAUGCGUAGAUAUUAGGAGGAACACCAGUGGCGAAGGAGGCUUACUGGACUGUAACUGACGUUGAGGCUCGAAAGCGUGGGGAGCAAACAGGAUUAGAUACCCUUGUAGUC
rnacentral:rRNA from 1 species